ACUAUGCAAUGAAUAUAUCAAUAAAAAACUUUUUUAUUAAAUAUCAAAAUUCUAAAAGAUAUAAACAACUGUUAAAACUUUUCGAAAUUAAUGAAAAUAAAUUAAUUAGCAGUCUUUCAACAGGGGAAAAAAAAAAAAGUUCAAAUAUUAGUUAGUAUAAUUAAAAAAAAAGAUAUUUACAUUUUCGAUGAAGCAACUGAGUCUUUAGAUUUAAUAUCUAGAAAAUUGUUAUUAGACUUUUUAAUGAAGGAAUCUAUUAAAUAUAAUUGUAUUAUAAUUUAUUCAACUCAUAUAUUUGACUAUAUGGAAAAAUGGAGUACUCACAUUUUAUAUCUAUCGGUUGGUUCUGUCAAAUUUUUUUCAGGCACCCAAAGUAUUACAAGUGCUAAAAAUUAUGUAUCCUUAGCCGACUUCGUUUUUAAUUCCAUGAUGAAUGAAACGAAAGAAACAGGAAAUAUAUCAAACUUGGACGAGUUAUUACAGAUUGAUUCGGAAUAA
rnacentral:lncRNA from 1 species